rnacentral:rRNA from 1 species
ACUCCUACGGGAGGCAGCAGUGGGGAAUAUUGCACAAUGGGGGAAACCCUGAUGCAGCCAUGCCGCGUGUGUGAAGAAGGCCUUGGGUUGUAAAGCACUUUCAGUAGGGAGGAAGGUAGUGUAGUUAACACCUGCAUUAUUUGACGUUACCUACAGAAGAAGCACCGGCUAACUCCGUGCCAGCAGCCGCGGUAAUACGGAGGGUGCGAGCGUUAAUCGGAAUUACUGGGCGUAAAGCGCAUGCAGGCGGCCUGUUAAGUCAGAUGUGAAAGCCCGGGGCUUAACCUCGGAAUUGCAUUUGAAACUGGCAGGCUAGAGUCUUGUAGAGGGGUUAGAAUUUCAGGUGUAGCGGUGAAAUGCGUAGAGAUCUGAAGGAAUACCAGUGGCGAAGCGGCCCCUGGACAAAGACUGACGCUCAGAUGCGAAAGCGUGGGAGCAAACAGGAUUAGAUACCCCUGGUAGACUGUCA